ACGGGAGUAGCAAUACUCCAGUGGCGGACGGGUGAGUAACGCGUGAGAAUCUGCCUUCUGGUCGGGGACAACCACUGGAAACGGUGGCUAAUACCGGAUGAGCCGAAGGGUAAAAGAUUAAUUGCCAGAAGAGGAGCUCGCGUCUGAUUAGCUAGUUGGUAGGGUAAAAGCCUACCAAGGCAUCGAUCAGUAGCUGGUCUGAGAGGACGAUCAGCCACACUGGGACUGAGACACGGCCCAGACUCCUACGGGAGGCAGCAGUGGGGAAUUUUCCGCAAUGGGCGAAAGCCUGACGGAGCAAGACCGCGUGAGGGAAGAAGGCUCUUGGGUCGUAAACCUCUUUUGUCAGGGAAGAACACAAUGACGGUACCUGACGAAUCAGCCUCGGCUAACUCCGUGCCAGCAGCCGCGGUAAUACGGAGGAGGCAAGCGUUAUCCGGAAUUAUUGGGCGUAAAGCGUCCGCAGGUGGCUAUUCAAGUCUGCGGUCAAAGACUGGGGCUUAACCCUGGAAAGGCCGUGGAAACUGAAGAGCUAGAGUGCAGUAGGGGUAGAGGGAAUUCCCGGUGUAGCGGUGAAAUGCGUAGAGCUCGGGAAGAACAUCGGUGGCGAAAGCGCUCUGCUGGACUGCA
rnacentral:rRNA from 1 species